rnacentral:rRNA from 1 species
UACGGAGGGUGCGAGCGUUGUCCGGAAUCACUGGGCGUAAAGGGCGCGUAGGCGGCCUGAUAAGUAGGGGGGUGAAAUCCUGCGGCUUAACCGCAGGGCUGCCUUCUAAACUGUCAGGCUAGAGCACGGUAGAGGCAGAUGGAAUUCCAGGUGUAGCGGUGAAAUGCGUAGAUAUCUGGAGGAACACCGGUGGUGUAAACGGCUUUCUGGACCAUUACUGACGCUGAUGCACGAAAGCGUGGGUAGCAAACAGG